rnacentral:rRNA from 1 species
GACGAACGCUGGCGGCGUGCUUAACACAUGCAAGUCGAACGGUGAAGCUCCAGCUUGCUGGAGUGGAUCAGUGGCGAACGGGUGAGUAACACGUGAGCAACCUGCCCCUGACUCUGGAAUAAGCGCUGGAAACGGCGUCUAAUACUGGAUACGAGAAGGGUCCGCAUGGGCACUUUCUGGAAAGUUUUUCGGUUGGGGAUGGGCUCGCGGCCUAUCAGCUUGUUGGUGAGGUAAUGGCUCACCAAGGCGACGACGGGUAGCCGGCCUGAGAGGGCGACCGGCAAAAUGGGGACUGAGACAGGGCCCGGACGCCGACGGGAGGCAGCGGGGGGAAAUAUGGCACAAUGGGCGAAAGCCGGAUGCAGCGACGCCGGGUGAGGGAUAACGGCCUUCGGGUUGUAAACCACUUUCAGCAGGGAAGAAGCGAAAGUGGCGGUAGCUGCAGAAGAAGCACCGGCUAACUACGUG